UGCGUAGGCGGUCGGGUAAGUCUGAUGUGAAAUCUCACAGCUUAACUGUGAAACUGCAUUGGAUACUAUCCGGCUCGAGGAAUGGAGGGGAGACUGGAAUACUUGGUGUAGCAGUGAAAUGCGUAGAUAUCAAGUGGAACACCAGUGGCGAAGGCGAGUCUCUGGACAUUUCCUGACGCUGAGGCACGAAAGCCAGGGGAGCAAACG
rnacentral:rRNA from 1 species